rnacentral:misc_RNA from 1 species
UACGGAGGGGGCUAGCGUUGUUCGGAAUUACUGGGCGUAAAGCGCGCGUAGGCGGGCUGGCCAGUUGGGGGUGAAAUCCCGAGGCUUAACCUCGGAACUGCCCUCAAUACUGUCAGCCUCGAGUCCGGGAGAGGUGAGUGGAAUUCCUAGUGUAGAGGUGAAAUUCGUAGAUAUCUGGAGGAAUACCGGUGGCGAAGGCAGCUCGCUGGGACGGUACUGACGCUGAGACGCGAAAGCGUGGGGAGCAAACAGG